GUCGCAGAGCAUCAGCGCUGAAACCGAGCGGCAGCUGCGCCCAGACAAGCGGAACGUCCGCCGGGAGCUGAAGCUGCUGCUGCUGGGCACAGGAGACAGUGGCAAGAGUAUGUUCAUUAAACAAAUGAGGAUUAUUCAUGCAUCAGGUUACAUGGAAGAGGACAGGAAGGGCUUCACAAAACCGGUUUACUAAAAUAUAUUUACUGCCGUGCAAGCGAUGAUUAGAGCCACGGAUACUCUCAAGAUACAGUACACAUGCAAAGAGAAUGAGGUCAGGAUUUGGUGCGUCAGAAGUAAUGAAGUCAGAAGUAAAAUUCACCAGAAAUGGGAAGCUGUGUAUAGGGACUAACUGACACAGUCUGAUUCCAGGAACACAAUUUGUUUUCAAGAACAGUGUAAGUUAUUGGCAGUCUUGGUAGUUCAGAUGCACAGAGACAAGCUGCUGCUGUUUGAGAAGAGAUAAGUAAUAGUUCUCAUUCAUAAUUAAUACUAUCUUUUUACGUGACAGUCCUAGGAAAGAAAGAUGUUUUUUUCUUUUGAGAUGCUUUUGAGCUCAUAAAGUCUAAAUCAUCUGGAUCCUGUCCCCAGCUGCCUGGGCAACAGAACCUCCAUACACAGUUUUUAAGAAAUUAGCUAGGAUGCAGGAACACUGAAUUACUCAAUGAUAGCAAUUUUUGAGCAUUGUAAAUAUCCAGGAUUGUUUGUAAUUAUUCGCUGCAUAACUUCCUUUGCACAAUACAUUCUCGUUCUCUGUAAUACAAGAAUUUUUGUUUCCAAGAGGUUGAGAUA